rnacentral:rRNA from 1 species
UAGCAUGCUAGUUGUACGAGUUGAGACUCGUAGCAGAUAGCUCAGUAACACGUGGGAAACAACCCUAUGGAUCCAGACAACCUCGGGAAACUGAGGCUAAUCUGGAAUAGGGCUCUCAUCCUGGAGUGGAGAGAGCCUGAAAUGCUCCGGCGCCAUAGGAUGUGGCUGCGGCCGAUUAGGUAGACGGUGGGGUAACGGCCCACCGUGCCAGUAAUCGGUACGGGUUGUGAGAGCAAGAGCCCGGAGACGGUAUCUGAGACAAGAUACCGGGCCCUACGGGGCGCAGCAGGCGCGAAACCUUUACACUGCACGCCAGUGCGAUAAGGGGACUCCAAGUGCGAGGGCAUAUAGUCCUCGCUUUUUGCGACCGUAAGGUGGUCGCGGAAUAAG